GUUAUAUGGUCAAGAAGAGAAGCGCAAACGGUGGAUGCCUUGGCAGUAAGAGGCGAAGAAGGACGUGGAAUCCUGCGAAAAGCUUUGGGGAGCUGGAAACGAGCGAUGAUCCGAAGAUGUCCGAAUGGGGGAACCCGGCACCAUGUGAAUGGUGUCACUUAUGACUGAAUACAUAGGUUAUGAGAGCGAACCUGGGGAACUGAAACAUCUAAGUACCUGGAGGAAAAGAAAUCAAACGAGAUUCUCUUAGUAGCGGCGAGCGAAGGGGGAAGAGCCUGGUGUGAUUUAUCAUGACAUGAAGUGGAACGACUUGGGAAAGUUGACCGUAGGGGGUGAUAGU
rnacentral:rRNA from 1 species